rnacentral:rRNA from 1 species
AUGGAAGCAGCGGCUGCCGGCGCCGGCGGGCUGGAGGUGGUGGUGUUCCGGUGGCUGGCGUUCGGCCACAUGAUCCCCUUCCUGGAGCUCUCCAAGCGCCUCGCGGCCAGGGGCCACACCGUGGCCUUCGUGUCCACGCCCUGGAAUCUCGCCAGGCUCCCGCCCGUGCCGGCCGGCCUGUCCUCCCGCCUCCGGUUCGUGCCGCUGCCGCUACCAGCCGUGGAGGGACUGCCGGAGGGCGCCGAGGCCACAUCUGACCUGCCGCCCGACAAGGUCGGGCUCCUCAAGCAGGCCAUGGACGGCCUCGCCGACCCACUCGCGGCAUUCCUCGCCGCCGGAAGGAGGCCCGACUGGAUCAUCCACGACUUCUGCCACCACUGGGUACUGCCCAUCGCCGGCCAGCUCAAGGUGGCAUCCGCGACGUUCCUCAUCUUCCAGGCGGCCUUGUUGGUCUUCGUGGGGCCGCGGUGGGCAAACCCCGCACACCCGCGCACGGAGCCGGAGCACUUCCCCGAGCCACCCAGGUGGAUUCCCUUCCCGUCCACCACCUUCUUCCACCGCCAUGAAGCCCAGUGGAUCACCGAUAGGGGCGGAGCCAGAAAAUUUGGCCAUUGGGUUCCCUCAUUCACUCUUUACGAGAACUUGAUACUAAUCUAUGAAGAUUAA